rnacentral:tRNA from 1 species
GAGGGUAUAGCUCAGUGUUAGAGCACAUGCUUAGCACCCCAAGGUCCUGGGUUCAAUCCCCAGUACCUCCA